UCUUUUCAUACUUAGGAGCAGUUUGAGCUCAAAUCUACCCAAGUCUUUUUCCUCCUGGAUAUCUCGGUGCUCUCCGCUAUAGUUAGCCGGUACCGGAGCUAAUAACUCUCGUGCAGUGAAGCGGAGACGGUCACAUUUCCUGCCUCAGUGGAUGAAAUCCUGGAAAUGCAGAGCCAUCAUACAGACCUUCUGGAGCUGCUGGGUCACAGAUUGGAUCUUUAGGACUGAAAAGCUUUUCUGAGAGAGAAGCCAAAGGGGGAUUUAAAGUGAAACCUGAAAGUUUUUUCUAGACAAAGAUCACCUGAUUCCAGCAAACAUGGAUGGAAGGCCCACCUGUGAGCAGUGUGGAAAGACUUUCACCGCAGCAAGUGACCUAAAA